AUGAAGGCCUUAGGGUCGUAAACUGCUUUUAUAUGCGAAGCAUAUGACGGUAGCAUAUGAAUAAGGAUCGGCUAACUCCGUGC
rnacentral:rRNA from 1 species